CGCGGGGCAACCUGGCGGCGAGCGGCGAACGGGUGAGUAAUGCAUCGGAACAUGUCCAUGUCGUGGGGGAUAGCCCGGCGAAAGCCGGAUUAAUACCGCAUACGUCCGAGAGGAGAAAGUGGGGGACCCGCAAGGGCCUCACGCGAUUGGGUUGGCCGAUGUCCGAUUAGCUAGUUGGUGGGGUAAGAGCCCACCAAGGCGAUGAUCGGUAGCUGGUCUGAGAGGAUGAUCAGCCACACUGGGACUGAGACACGGCCCAGACUCCUACGGGAGGCAGCAGUGGGGAAUUUUGGACAAUGGGGGAAACCCUGAUCCAGCCAUUCCGCGUGAGUGAAGAAGGCCUUCGGGUUGUAAAGCUCUUUUGUCCGGAACGAAACGGUUGUGGUGAAUAGCCACGACUACUGACGGUACCGGAAGAAUAAGCACCGGCUAACUACGUGCCAGCAGCCGCGGUAAUACGUAGGGUGCGAGCGUUAAUCGGAAUUACUGGGCGUAAAGCGUGCGCAGGCGGUUUUGUAAGCCAGAUGUGAAAUCCCCGGGCUCAACCUGGGAAUGGCAUUUGGGACUGCAAGGCUUGAGUGCGGCAGAGGAGACUGGAAUUCCUGGUGUAGCAGUGAAAUGCGUAGAUAUCAGGAGGAAUACCGAUGGCGAAGGCAGGUCUCUGGGCUGACACUGACGCUCAUGCACGAAAGCGUGGGGAGCAAACAGGAUUAGAUACCCUGGUAGUCCACGCCCUAAACGAUGUCGACUGGUUGUUGGGGGUUUGACACUCUCAGUAACGAAGCUAACGCGUGAAGUCGACC
rnacentral:rRNA from 1 species